GGAUGUGAGGGCCAUCUGGCUACGACAUCUGUCACCCCAUUGAUUCGGCUGAUCUGGCUGCCUAGGCGGGUGUCCCCUUCCUCCCUCAUCGCUCCACGAGUGUCCCUCCUGAAGCUGUGUGUUUAGGCAAAGAGGAUAACCAUCCCCGAUAGAGGAGAACCAUUCUUGGGUCAAGGGUAUAUGAGUAGCUACGCUCCCCUGCUAGAACCUCCAAACAAGCUAUCAAGGUCCAAUAAGAAAACUGUUUUGUGUAGAGAUCCUUAAAGUGUAUUUUUGGAUAAUAUUAUUGGUUCUUUGAAACUUUUUUUUGAUG
ensembl:misc_RNA 7SK 7SK RNA